UACGGAGGAUGCAAGCGUUAUCCGGAAUGAUUGGGCGUAAAGCGUCCGCAGGUGGCUGUGUAAGUCUGCUGUUAAAGAGUCUAGCUCAACUAGAUACAAGCAGUUGAAACUACACGGCUAGAGUACGUUCGGGGCAGAGGGAAUUCCUGGUGUAGCGGUGAAAUGCGUAGAGAUCAGGAAGAACACCGGUGGCGAAGGCGCUCUGCUAGGCCGUAACUGACACUGAGGGACGAAAGCUAGGGGAGCGAAUGGG
rnacentral:rRNA from 1 species